rnacentral:rRNA from 1 species
GAUGAACGCUAGCGAUAGGCUUAACACAUGCAAGUCGAGGGGCAUCGAGGGUAGCAAUACCUGUCGGCGACCGGCGCACGGGUGAGUAACGCGUAUGUAACCUGCCCGCAACAGAGGGAUAACCCGGCGAAAGUCGGACUAAUACCUCAUAAAACAGGGGUUCCGCAUGGGGCUAUUUGUUAAAGAUUUAUUGGUUGCGGAUGGGCAUGCGUACCAUUAGGUAGUUGGUGAGGUAACGGCUCACCAAGCCAUCGAUGGUUAGGGGUUCUGAGAGGAAGGUCCCCCACACUGGUACUGAGACACGGACCAGACUCCUACGGGAGGCAGCAGUGAGGAAUAUUGGUCAAUGGGCGAGAGCCUGAACCAGCCAAGUCGCGUGAAGGAUGACUGCCCUAUGGGUUGUAAACUUCUUUU